rnacentral:rRNA from 1 species
AGAGUUUGAUCCUGGCUCAGGACGAACGCUGGCGGCGUGCUUAACACAUGCAAGUCGAACGGUAAGGCCCUUCGGGGUACACGAGUGGCGAACGGGUGAGUAACACGUGGGUGAUCUGCCCUGCACUUUGGGAUAAGCCUGGGAAACUGGGUCUAAUACCGAAUAGGACCACGGGAUGCAUGUCCUGUGGUGGAAAGCUUUUGCGGUGUGGGAUGGGCCCGCGGCCUAUCAGCUUGUUGGUGGGGUGAUAGCCCACCAAGGCGACGACGGGUAGCCGGCCUGAGAGGGUGUCCGGCCACACUGGGACUGAGAUACGGCCCAGACUCCUACGGGAGGCAGCAGUGGGGAAUAUUGCACAAUGGGCGCAAGCCUGAUGCAGCGACGCCGCGUGGGGGAUGACGGCCUUCGGGUUGUAAACCUCUUUCACCAUCGACGAAGGUCCGGGGUUCUCGGAUUGACGGUAGGUGGAGAAGAAGCACCGGCCAACUACGUGCCAGCAGCCGCGGUA